UCACACAGUGAAAAUGGCAUGCUUGCG
rnacentral:piRNA from 1 species